UGGGGAAUUUUGGACAAUGGGCGAAAGCCUGAUCCAGCAAUGCCGCGUGUGUGAAGAAGGCCUUCGGGUUGUAAAGCACUUUUGUCCGGAAAGAAAUCCUUGGCUCUAAUACAGUCGGGGGAUGACGGUACCGGAAGAAUAAGCACCGGCUAACUACGUGCCAGCAGCCGCGGUAAUACGUAGGGUGCAAGCGUUAAUCGGAAUUACUGGGCGUAAAGCGUGCGCAGGCGGUUUGCUAAGACCGAUGUGAAAUCCCCGGGCUCAACCUGGGAACUGCAUUGGUGACUGGCAGGCUAGAGUAUGGCAGAGGGGGGUAGAAUUCCACGUGUAGCAGUGAAAUGCGUAGAGAUGUGGAGGAAUACCGAUGGCGAAGGCAGCCCCCUGGGCCAAUACUGACGCUCAUGCACGAAAGCGUGGGGAGCAAAACAGGAUUAGAUACCCUGGGUAGUCCACGCCCUAAAACGAUGUCAACUAGUUGUUGGGGAUUCAUUUCCUUAGUAACGUAGCUAACGCGUGAAGUUGACCGCCUGGGGAGUACGGUCGCAAGAUUAAAAACUCAAAGGAAUUGAC
rnacentral:rRNA from 1 species